GUGGGUGUAGUUCAACUGGCAGAGCACCAGAUUGUGAUUCUGGGUGUUGUGGGUUCGAGCCCCAUCAUCCACCCCA
rnacentral:tRNA from 1 species